UACAGAGGGGGCAAGCGUUAUCCGGAUUCACUGGGUUUAAAGGGUGCGUAGGUGGGCUAGUAAGUCCGUGGUGAAAUCCCCGAGCUUAACUUGGGAACUGCAUCCGAUACUGGAUGGCUUGAAUCCGGGAGAGGGAUGCAGAAUUCCAGGUGUAGCGGUGAAAUGCGUAGAUAUCUGGAGGAACACCGGUGGCGAAGGCGGCAUCCUGGACCAUGACUGACGCUGAGGAGCGAAAGCCAGGGGAGCAAACGGG
rnacentral:rRNA from 1 species